AGCGUAGACGGUUUUGCAAGUCUGAAGUGAAAGCCCGGGGCUUAACCCCGGGACUGCUUUGGAAACUGUAGGACUAGAGUGCAGGAGAGGUAAGUGGAAUUCCUAGUGUAGCGGUGAAAUGCGUAGAUAUUAGGAGGAACACCAGUGGCGAAGGCGGCUUACUGGACUGUAACUGACGUUGAGGCUCGAAAGCGUGGGGAGCAAACA
rnacentral:rRNA from 1 species